rnacentral:rRNA from 1 species
UGUUCUUUAAAUAGGGACUCGUAUCAACGGCAUCACGAGGGCUAUACUGUCUCCCCUCUCCAAUCAGUGAAACUGAUCCCCCCGUGAAGAAGCGGGGAUAUAAUUAUAAGACGAGAAGACCCCAUGGAGCUUUAAACCCAACAUGCACCCCCUCACUCAAACAUCAACUCAAUCUGGGGCCCUGUGCGUUGGUUUUGGGCUGGGGGGACCACGGAGCAAAAUUGAACCUCCAUAACAAAUGGGCUAAUACCCUUAUCCACGACCUACAGGUCCAAGAAUCAUUAAAAUGAUGUUUAACGACCCGAUAACUCGAUCAAUGAACCAAGUUACCCUGGGGAUAACAGCGCAAUCCACUCCAAGAGCCCAUAUCGACAAGUGGGUUUACGACCUCGAUGUUGGAUCAGGGUAUCCUAGUGGUGCAGCCGCUA